UGAGCAGCAAUAGAUUGGGUGGAGAAAUUCCGUCAGAGCUUGGCAGCUUGUCCUUUCUUGAAAUUCUUGAUCUCAGUCAAAAUUUGCUGAUCGGAGAAAUACCGUACCAGGUUGGGAACUUGAAAACUUUGGAAAAGCUGAACCUCUCACACAACAAGCUCUUGGGUUUUAUUCCAUCAACUUUUGCUGAUAUGUUAAGCUUGAUAUCUGUUGAUAUAUCUUACAAUCAGUUCGAGGGUCCUCUUCCAAACAAUAAGGCCUUUCAUGAGGCUUCUUUUGAGGCUUUCAGAAACAACAAAGCUUUGUGCGGAAAUAUCACAGAUUUGGAACCAUGUUCUUCAAAUGUAAACCAUAAUCUUGAUCGGAAAAUUGUGAUUGCAACUGUGGUCUCUGUUUUAUGCUCACUACUUCUUGUAUUUGUUGUCUUCGGGAUUCUUUCUUGUAUCAAACAAAGAGAGAGAAAUACUGAGAACACGCCCAAGAUGGUAGAAAGUCCGAAUCUAUUUGCAAUUUGCAACUAUGACGGGAAAAUGAUGUACGAAAACAUAAUUGAAGCAACUGAAGAAUUUGACUCCAAAUAUUGCAUUGGGGUCGGAGGAUAUGGAAGCGUUUACAAAGCUCAAUUAUCAGAUGGCCAAAUAGUUGCUGUGAAAAAGCUUCACCCACUUCCGGAAGGUGGGGUGGCCGACCAAAAAGCUUUUCACAGUGAGAUUCGUGCCUUGACUGAAAUACGCCAUCGCAAUGUUGUGAAACUUUAUGGUUUCUGCUCUCAUCCUCGACACUCAAUUCUGGUGCACGAGUUCUUGGAAGGGGGAAGCCUGGAGAAGAUACUGAGCACUAAGGAACAAGCAAUGGAGUUUGAUUGGAUUAAGAGGGUAAAUUUCAUUAAAGGCGUGGCUAAUGCUGUGUCCUACAUGCACCAUGACUGCAUCCCUCCCAUAGUCCAUCGUGACAUUUCAAGCAAGAAUAUUCUACUAGACUCAGAAUAUGAGGCUCAUGUAGCAGACUUUGGCGCUGCCAGGCUUCUAAAGCCUGACUCAUCCAAUUGGACCUCAUUUCAAGGCACUUUUGGUUACUCAGCUCCCGGUUAGUUUUCUUUUCUUUCCAUCUUUUUCUUCUUUUAUGCAUGGUUUAUGUUUUCUUGGCUCUUUUAAGCUGCAAUUUGAAAAUGUUAGAUUAGAAAAUUUGGUGAAAUAAUAAUGCUAAGACCGAAACCAGACAAUAUUGAACUUGGAUACCUGAUUUGUUCAACAUAAGCCAACCAGAAGUUAGUCAACAAUACAAAGGAAAUUAGCAAAAUUUGAUCUUUGCAAUCAGUUUUGCUUUCAUCUCUAUUUCUCAGUCACCAAAAAGGGAUUUUUUUUAAUGGUUAAUUAUCCUAGAUAACUCCAGCUUCAAAGUAAAAGGCCUAAAAGCACUCCUCAGAGGAACAAAAAAGAUGAGAAUCGCACAUGGACUAUUAGCUCUGUUGAACAAAACCUGCAAGGCAGGCCUUAAACAUCUGGAUAAUCUUGUUUCAUUUUGCUUAACUUCUAGUAGUAAGAUAAUUACUCCUCUAUAUAUGGGAGGAAGCUGAAGUUGAAAUUCCAAAGGUAUUCACGCAAUUCAGUUUCACUGUUUCUGAUAGAUAUCUUUCUUUUGUAGAGCUUGCUUACACCAUGAAAGUGAAUGAAAAGUGUGAUGUCUUCAGCUUCGGAGUCGUGACAUCGGAGACACUCAUGGGAAGGCAUCCUGGGGAUCUCAUAUCUUCCUUGUCAUCAUCAUUUUCUUCCUACUCGCCAUCAUGCUCAUCAUCAGCAACCGUCAAUCAUUUACUGCUGAAAGAUUUGUUGGACCAGCGUCUCCCACCUCCUAGGAAACAAGUAGCAGCAAAACUGGUCUCAAUUGUAAAACUAGCAUCUACAUGCUUACAUGCCAGUCCACAAUCUCGACCAAGUAUGCAACAAGUUUCUCAGGAGCUGUCAAUUCAGAAUCCACCCUUGGUGAAUCAGUUUCACACCUUCGCAUUAGGGGAAUUGCUUGAUUCCAGCAGUCGUACAUCCUGAACAUCCAAUUGUUCCCUCUUUAAUUUUACUGUUAUCAUUCUGUUCUGGUUCUGCAUUUCCUUUCCCAUGUUUCUAUCGCUUGAUGUUCCAGUUAAGUUGUGCAUCAUUGGCUCGAAAAGCUUCCUCUGAUGAGAUAAUAAAAUAUUUGCAUUGUAUGAUUAAUUUUCUGAAAAUUUUUGGAGUGCUUAGUUCAAUAAUCGACAUGAAGUUGAACUUUUUUAGUCUAAAAUUUGCAUGAAUCACCAAUCUUUUUCUCACUGCAUUCCAAACUAGUUAUCAAACAGCCAGAAAUCCUCUUGAUUACUGAACUCCAUCCCUCUAGAUUCCGUGAAAGCAUUUUCAUUCUUCUUUUGCUUCACACCAAAAACAAUCAUCACACAUGACCAGUAGAUAUAAACCACAACAAUCAACUCUCAAUACUACUACAAAAUUAGUUGAACCCCUCACCAUUAAUCACCCAACCAAACGACACAGCAAGCAAAUUCACAAGAAUAACAAAUCACCCAUAAUUUAUAUGCAAUUAUCAGCAAAUCCAAUGCAGCUGGGCUCAAAACUUUAUCCUCUUACGGCUUAAAGCUGCCCUGUGUACCAGAGCCAAAAUUGGUCCAUUUCCCUUCCAGCUUUAGAGCUUUAGUUUGGCCCUAAAGCAUGCAUUUCUCCUCCAAAUCAUCUACCCAAUCCAAUCGGGGCUCCAACAUCAUCCGAGCCUGCCUUAGUCGACCCGCUCCCUUGCCCGAUUCCUUUGCCCAAGCACCGUUCAUCAUCAUCAACCUUGAGCCACGCCGAAUGCUCCAUCAACUCCAUACAAUCCACUGCUUCCCCCUCAUUAAUCGUGACAUUUCUACUAGCAAGUAUCCAAUCUUGGCCAUCAUCUUCUUUUUUCUGUGCCCCAUCAUCAACAUUCCCCAAGUAACCCGAAUCCAUCUGAUGUCCUAAUGUUGUUCGUUUUUUCUUCUUGUUUAUGUGUGCAACUAUAUCUACUGGUGAUAUGAACGGUAAAAUAUCCUUUACACCUCUAACUUUUGAUUAUAAUUCACUUUUAAUCUAUUAGUAUUAAAAUGGAGAAUCCACUCCAAAAUUCUAAGCACUAUUAACGGAUUUUGUUAAAUGACUAAAAUACCUGUCCUUACUAUUUUUCUUCUUUCACGUGAUUUUGAAUUUGUCUUCACGUCCAAAAGAAACAAUCACAUGCUGCAACAAUGAAAGAAUAACCAUGAAACUGAUGUCCGACGAGUUGACGGGGUCAGAAAACUUUACCAUUGGGAAAAGUUCUCGGAUGAGGAGAGCCAAGACUGGGAUGCGGCGGCGCUUGGGAGACUAGGAGGCGGAGGCAGCCUUACCGCCUCUUUCUCUCCCUCCUGACUGACACUGACAACGCCUCUAAAACUUGACCGCUGUCAUUCGCUCCGGCGUGGUGAGAAGCCUUGAAGUGAAGUGGAUAGGGGGAAGCUCAUCGGCAGGGCCGGCUUAUGCAUAAAGCCAUCAAGGCUCUUUCUUUAGGCCCGCAUUUUUACGAGUCUCAAAAGUUUGUAUAAUAUAAUUAAUUAUAUUAAAAUAUAGAAAAAUUAAAAUAAUUAAUAAAAUAUUUUUUAAAUUAAGUAUUUAUUGAAUAUUUAUUUUUUAUUUUUUAUUAAUUUUUAAUUAUUUAUUUCACUUGUCCAAUUAUGUAAAAAUUAAAAUAAUUAAUAAUAUGAUAUAUAUAUUUUUUAAUUAUGUAUUUAAUAAAUUUUUAUUUUUUAUCACUUCUUAAUAGUUACAACAUUGCGAAGGCAGUAUUCUUGUUGAGUUGUUUUGCAAAUUCACGGUAUCUUUAGUGCAAGUUUAAUGUGGUAAUACUGAUGAAUGACCCAUUGAGUCAAGUAUUCAAAGAAAACAAAGACAAGACUUGAUAUGAGAAGCUGAUGAGUUGAGUGGCAUUUCCAAGCCUAGUUGGCCCCGAGUAAGUAUUGAAUUAAGCCCUUGAAUUGAACACAUGCAGUGCAAGGGCAAUUUAAAUAUUCUAAAUUCCUAAUACAGAAUGGAUACAACCUGCGAAGGUUUUUUUUCAGUGAAAAACUGGCAGAAAAGUAUGGGCCUUUAACUGCUGAAUAUGUUGAUUACGAAUGUUCAAGGUAGACUAUACUUGCACUAUUAUAUUAGGGAGGGAUGGUCACCUAUGCUGAUUGUUAUUUGGAGAUUUCUUCGUAGUUCAAAUGGUUCAGAUGUACUGGCAACAAAACAGACCUUGUUUUUUGUUGUAUUGCUUUGCUCCAGUACAAUCCCUAUAUUUCUUGGAGUUGUGCCCUUAACAUCAGAAAUGAUAAGGACACUAGGUGUCUUGGCCGAAACCGCUGGGACUGGAGCUGUAUAUUUUUUUGCUAUUAUAUAUGCUUUUUUUUUUUUGAAAGGCAGUAUUUAUUAAUUACAAGAGAUCUCGCAAGAGGAGAUUACAAAAAGCACUUCAAGAAUGCCUGUAAAAAAGUAACAGAUUAUAAAAAAAGAGAUCUGCUACUUCCAGCAUUGAGGUACAAAGCAUGACAAACAGAGGAUGAAGCGAGAAAUCAUAUUCAAAAGAAAAAACAUAGGGGUAGUUGAAGGUUAACCAAAAUAAUAAAGCCUUUGCAAUGGAGGAAUAGUUCAUGUGCUCUCCCCCUGUUGGUUUUGAAAGUAGGCUUUGAAGUUUGAGUCUCUUAAUACCCCUGCUUUGGCCAAUCCAUCUGCAACCUUGUUGGCUUCCCUCAUUACAUGCUUGAAAGUGACUCUUGUGUUUUUACGCAAGAAAGUUUCAAUGGUAUUCGAAAUAUUUUUCAUCCGCCAAGGGACUUUGCAGUGGUGUUGCGCCCAAUUGAUAGCAUUGGCAGAGUCGCUUUCCACAACUAGAGAAUGAGUGACAGCCUAGGGAGAUGAAAAGAAGAAGCUGAUUCCUUCCCGUAUGGCAUAAAAUUCAGCAAAAUUUGAGUCCUCGAUUCCAAUGUUUUCAGAGAAUGUUCCCCGAAUGAAGCCAUGGUGGUCCCUAAUCACUCCUCCAAUACGAGCAGGUCCAGGUUUGCCUUUUGCUGCGCCAUCUGUGUUGAGUUUAAGAGUUCCAGGUGGUGGAGUUGACCAAUUGGUAGCCAUUCUUUGGUUCUUCCUUUUAGUGUUGAUGUUGGAGCAAAGAGGCUUCAUGAGACAUAGGUCAGCAGGAACAUGGCCAAGUUCCCAUUUCCCUCGACACCAAAGCAUGUGGCGUAAAAGGGCGAUGUCUCUCAUUUUGUUUGGACUAAAGCUUUUCCCUCUAAAAAUAACCUCAUUUCUACAAAGCCAAAGUGUUCAAAGUGUUGCAAAGAAUAGCAUUCUCCAUGUAUCUCUCUUGCCCGUAGGCAUGGGAAGUUCAAACCAUGCCUUAAAAAAAGACAAAACAUCACCAGGUUGAACCCAAGUGAUACCCCAUAAGCAACAACAAGAAGACCAUGUUUUCCAAGCAAUGAUGCAAUCAAAGAGGACAUGAAAGGAAGUCUCGAGUUGAGAGGUGCAGAAAGAGCAAUUAGCGUCAUCAACCGCAAGAACUCCUCGAUGCAUCAAAACAGAUUUGGCAGCUAUUUUCCCAUGGAGGGUUUGCCAACAGAAAGUUUCAACUUUCGGGGGAGCGUAGCCAAUCCAAACAUUUUUCCAAAAACUUGUAUAGCUAGGGGGGUACCAUGGCUUGCUUUAAUAAAAGAGGAAGGAGUGUAGAGACCACUAGUAGUUUUCUUCCACACCACUAUAUCUUUGUCAGUGGGGUGAGGUUGAAAAUUCUUAAUGAAGGUAGUGAAAUCUCUCCACUGAUUUUGCUCCUAGCUAAGAGUCUGCCUUCUUAACUUAACAUCCCACCUCCAAAUUCAUUCAACCCAGCUUCCUAAUUCAAUAAUCGUGGCUUUCUUGCUUAUUGCCAAUGCAUAAAUGCGUGGAAAUUUGGUGGCCAAAGUGGAGUCGUCAGCCCACAAGUCUUCCCAAAAACGGAUGGUGGUGCCUUUACCGAGAGAGUGAGCAAACCCUUUGGUUACAAGUUCAUGAUAUUUGUUUGCUGGGUCCAUUGGCUUCAUGAUGUGAUUCCAAAGGGAGGAAGGCUUGUGAGGUUUGUCAAUAGGAAUCAAACAGUCCGGUUUCAACUUGUUUUUGGCAUAUACAACUUGCCUCCAUAUCCUAUCAGGCUCAUUUGCAUACCUCAAAAGCCAUUUGUUGAGAAGAGCUCUAUUUUUUAGCUCUAAAUCAAUGAUUCACAAUCCUCCUUGAGUUUUUGGGUUACUAACAGUGGACCAGUUGACAUAAUGAAUUUUCUUUUUCUCGGAAGAACCAGACUAGAGAAAGUUUCUUUGAAUAGCUUCAAGUUUUUGUUUGACCAUGGUUGGAAGACGAAAAAUGGAGAGGUAAAAGAGGGGGAGGCUUGAGAGGACUGAGUUGAUAAGUGUAAGCCUGCCUCCCAUAGAGAGAAAUUGUCCUUUCCAGCCAGCUAAUCUUGAAUUAAAUUUGUCAAUGAUGGGCUGCCAAGUUCCCAUUGAGCGAAGAUUAGCUCUUAACGGUAACCCGAGAUAAUUCGUGGGGAGGGCUCCCACCUUGCAGUUGAUCAUUGAAGCCCAAGAACUCAACAGAGAAUCAUCGAUACCAAUGCCCAUUAGACAGCUCUUAGAGAAAUUGAUUUUGAGCCCUGAAACUGAUUGAAAAAUUCGUAGAAUCCUUGCAAUAUUUGUAAUCUGAUCAGAGUGAGGUCUACAAAAAAGUAAGGUGUCAUCUGCAAAUUGCAGAUGAGAAAUAGCAAUGUCAGAGCUCCCAAUGUUGAUUCCUUCAAAUACUCCCAAAUUAUUAGCCUUGUUAAAAAGGAUGCUAAAAGAUUCAACAACAAUAUUGAAGAGAAUGGGGGAAAGAGGACAUCCUUGCCUAAGUCCUCUUUGAGCAGAAAAUUGAGCAGUAGGGGUGCCAUUCACAAUGAUUAAAAUGCUGGUAGUAAUAACACAUUGCCUGAUCCAACCUCGCCAUCUUGGACCAAAAUUCAUGAGCUGCAUGAUUAAAUCCAAGUAGUCCCAUUUAACACUAUCAAAAGCCUUUUCAAAAUCAGCUUUGAACAUGAGACCGCUUUUUUUGGUUUUUUUCAUAUAGUCAAUAAACUCACUAGCUAUUAAGUAACAGUCAAGAAUCUGCUUCCCUUUGGAAAAAGCAAAUUGAUUUUCACCAAUGACAGAUUCGAUCACCACUUUGAGCCUGUUAGCAAGAACUUUUGCUAAGAUUUUAUAGAUGCAACCUACAAGGCUUAUGGGCCUGAAGUGAGAGAUCAAAGUAGGACUGCUUAUUUUUGGGACCAAGGUAAUAAAAGAAGAAUUUACAUUUUUGUUGAAUUUCUCGGUGCUGUAGAAAUUUUCCAUAAAAGCAAGAAUUUCUUCUUUGAAAAGUGGCCACUGUUUCUUAAAGAUCUCCAUGUUGAAGCCGUCUGGGCUAGGAGCUUUGUUCCCAUCACACUGUUGAAUGGCUAAACAAACUUCUUCCUCAGUAAAAGGUGCUUCAAGGUUUCUAUUUUGGUCAACACUGAGUUGUCUAAAUUGACAAUUAAACUCUUUAAUUUUCAAGGUAUCUUGCCUAAGAAAAAGAGUUUUGAAGUGACAGAGUACCUCAUUUUUUAUGCCGAUGGGGUCAUAGAUAAAGGUCCUGUUUCUCUGUAUCUGAUGGAUUGAGUUCUUUCUCCCUCUGUUUGAGGCUGUAAUGUGAAAAAACUUGGUGUUAUGAUCACCUAAUUUAGUCCAUUGCAGUCGUGAUUUUUGUAACCAUGAUUGCUCCUCUCGUUUGUACAGGUGCCAAAGUUUUGAUUUAAGGUUGGUGUGGUUGGCUUUUUCAGGUACAGAGAGUUCCCUCUUUUCUGCUUCUUUUUUUAGGGUAUCAAUGUCGUUCUCAAGGAUGGUGAUCAUUUUCCCAUCUUCAGCAUGAUGUUGUUGUUGCCAAGCUUUCACUGAGAGUUUAAGCCUCUUCAUUUUUCCAAAAAGACCACCAAAGCCACUAUUUUCUUGAUUGAUCGAAUCCCAUGUGCUUUUCAAGAAAGCGACAAAUUCCUUAUUUUCAAGCCAGUGGAAAAGUAGUCGAAAGGGUUUUGGACCUCAAUUCCUUUGGUCAACAAUGAGUGUGAUGGGAUUAUGGUCAGAGAGGGAUCUUGGGAGUACCUUCUGUAAAAUCACAGGGAAACUGAGGAUAAUCUCGCUGCUGAUAAGAAAACGAUCGAGGCGGUAAUCCUCGAUCACAAGGAAAAGCAAUCCUUGCUAAUGAACAACUUUAUUUCCAACGUUGGAUGAUGACAAAUUGCUUGUAAUUUUUUUUGAGAAACCAGAGGGAAGUAAAAAACCUCACUUCUGGAAAUAAAAUAAGAAAAUUCAUGGCCAUCACUCUCUGCUCAUGAGAAUGACAGUCUAGAAUCUCCUUCAAAAGUCAUCACCUAAAUAACUAUACAAAAGACCAAGGAACUCAAGGGCUCCUGUACAAAUUAAUAGAUCCCCAGCAACGUGCGGUAUCCCCUUACCUCCGUAAUUAAUCUUCUGUUUCUCGUUAGCUCCGCUGUGAUAGGAUUUAAAUGGAAUCCGACCCUACCUCUGACCAAGAAUGAAGCCCCACCGUAUCUUCCAGCUUCACAAACGCCGCAUGUUCACCAAGAUGUUCGAAAGAAUAAAUGAAAAUGAGGUGUGUACAUUUUCCAUGGAGGGAAGACUUUGACUUCCCAACUGAGGAUUCCCUCGUUUCCUCUAAAUACUACUCCUUCAUUCCGAUUCUGCGUAACAAUUUUCCAUUUAAAGUUCAUUAGAACCAAAACCUGCUCCUGCAAUCGAAGAUAUGGUGCUCUUUUUGAUCAAACAAUCAUCUUUGUCCUUCCGAGUCUUGUUCUUCUUCACCCUCCUGCUGCUUUCUUCUUUCCAUGUCUUCGUUUCUGUCUCUGUUUCAAAUUCUUCAGUUCCUAGAGAUGAAUCAACAAGCGAGAAGGAAGCGAAUGCUCUUCUUAAGUGGAAGGCUAGUCUUGAUCAUCAAAGUCAGUCUGUCCUGUCUUCUUGGCUUGGAAAUGACACUUGCUACUGGAUUGGGAUCACUUGUGACAAGUCGGGAAGGGUCAGCCACUUGAACCUUUCAAAUUCCGGUUUAAUAGGUACACUUCAUGAUUUUAGCUUCUCUUCUUUCCCUGAACUUGCUGUUCUUGAUCUAUGGAACAAUUCUCUUGAUGGAAUUAUUCCAUCAGAUAUUGGCAAUCUAUAUAGACUAACCUAUCUCGACUUGUCUGUCAAUUAUCUUUAUGGAAAUAUUCCUUUUGAAAUAGAAAAGUUAAGAUCUCUUUCUCAGCUCUAUCUAGAUACAAACAUUCUGACAGGUUCAAUCCCUUACUCUAUAAGAAACUUGACAGACCUGUCCAUUCUCUACUUGUACAAAAACAAGCUCUCUGGUGCUAUACCUCAACAAGUUGGAAUGCUGAAGUCCCUGAAUAGACUUACACUCUCAAAUAAUAAUCUGAUUGGUUCUCUCCCUAACUCUAUUGGAAAUUUAAGUAACUUAGUAAGUCUCAAACUUUUUAACAACAAAAUUUCAGGACCCAUACCUCAUGAAAUUGGAAUGCUGAGAUCCCUUGAAAUUCUUUUUUUGACCAAUAAUAGUCUUACGGCUGAACUUCCCGCUUCUAUAGGGAACCUGAAAAUGUUAUCCCAUCUUUUACUUUAUGAGAACAAACUUUCAAGAUUUAUUCCUUCUAGUAUUGGAAACUCAACCAAUCUCAUUGAUUUUAUCACUGUAUGAUAAUAAGUUACAUGGAUCAAUUCCUCGGGAAUUAGGAAAGCUCCGAUCCCUUGUCACCUUAAGGCUGUUUAAGAACAGUCUCAGUGGUUUCAUUCCAGCAGAGAUGAAUAAUCUUACACGUUUGCAAGAUUUGGAACUCUUUGAAAAUUACUUGACUGGCCAUUUACCACAACAGGUGUGCCUUGGUAGAGCACUUGAAAGAUUUACUGCAAACAACAACCUUUUCACAGGUCCAAUCCCAAAGAGCUUGAAGAACUGUACCAGCCUAUACAGAGUUCGACUUGAACACAAUCAACUUACUGGGAAUUUGUCUGAAGAUUUAGGCAUAUACCCGAACUUGGACUAUCUAGAUUUGAGUUAUAAUAAAUUCUAUGGUGAGCUGUCACCAAAAUGGGGUCAGUGCCACAAUCUCACAAGCCUAAAGCUCUCAAACAAUAAUAUCUCCAGUCAGAUACCCUCAGAGCUUGGAAAUGCAAUUAAGCUACAAGUUUGUGACCUUUCUUCAAAUAAUCUAGUUGGGGAGAUUCCAAAGGAACUGGGAGAGUUACAAUUGUUGUUCAACUUUAUGCUGAAUGACAAUCAUCUUUCAGGCAGUAUUCCUCCAGAAAUUGGAAUGCUAUCUUAUCUUAUGAAUCUUAACUUGGCAGCAAACAACCUGAACAGCUCCAUCCCAAGACAAUUGAGCAUGUGUAAGAAACUCUUAGAACUGAAUUUGAGCAGCAAUAGAUUGAGUGGAGAAAUUCCGUCAGAGCUUGGCAGCUUGUCCUUUCUUGAAAUUCUUGAUCUCAAUCAGAAUUUGCUGAUAGGAGAAAUACCGGACCAGGUUGGGAAUUUGAAAACUUUGGAAAAGUUGAACCUCUCUCACAACAAGCUCUUGGGUUUUAUUCCAUCAACUUUUGCUGAUAUGUUAAGCUUGACAUCUGUUGAUAUAUCUUACAAUCAGUUGGAGGGUCCUAUUCCAAACAAUAAGGCCUUUCAUGAGGCUUCAUUUGAGGCUUU
rnacentral:lncRNA from 1 species